AGAACACCUCCAUAUUUCAGAACCAUAAGAGCUUCAACAGGCCGUUCUUCUUCACCUUCACCAUUCGACUUGGCAACUUUAGCCCACUUUAGUGGCUUUAGCUGAACUUUUCUAUAAAUUCCAGAAAAAUGUCCUCCCUCCUCAAGAACAGCUUUUACUUGACGAAGUUUCUCAGCAUGCUCAAUGUCUUCAGCUUCACUAUCACUUUCCCGGCCAGGCCUAGAACGUGGCACUAAGGCUCUGGUGGCAUCCAAAAGAUCUUGCAAUUGCACAGCAGUUUUGAGCUUUGUCUCUGAUCUAGGUUUACCGCCAUUGUAUUUUAACAUCAAAUUUAAGAGUUUUUCCUCAGUAACCUUCAACUUCACCUUUUG
rnacentral:misc_RNA from 1 species